rnacentral:rRNA from 1 species
AANAAGAGAAAGUCGUAACACAAUAGGCCCACCGGAAGGCGGGCCUGGAAAAU